rnacentral:rRNA from 1 species
AUUGAACGCUGGCGGCAUGCCUUACACAUGCAAGUCGAACGGCAGCACGGGUGCUUGCACCUGGUGGCGAGUGGCGAACGGGUGAGUAAUACAUCGGAACGUACCUUAUCGUGGGGGAUAACGCAGCGAAAGCUGUGCUAAUACCGCAUACGCCCUGAGGGGGAAAGCGGGGGACAGCAAGCCGUCGGCGGAUUAGAUGGGCCGAUGCCUGAUCAGCUAGUUGGUGGGGUAAAAGCCCACCAAGGCGACGAUCAGUAGCUGGUCUGAGAGGACGAUCAGCCACACUGGGACUGAGACACGGCCCAGACUCCUACGGGAGGCAGCAGUGGGGAAUUUUGGACAAUGGGGGCAACCCUGAUCCAGCAAUGCCGCGUGAGUGAAGAAGGCCUUCGGGUUGUAAAGCUCUUUUGUCAGGGAAGAAACACCGGCUCUAACACAGUCCGGGAAUGACGGUACCUGAAGAAUAAGCACCGGCUAACUACGUGCCAGCAGCCGCCGUAA